rnacentral:rRNA from 1 species
GGGGAGGUUUGGCACCUCGAUGUCGGCUCAUCGCAUCCUGGGGCUGUAGUCGGUCCCAAGGGUUGGGCUGUUCGCCCAUUAAAGCGGUACGCGAGCUGGGUUCAGAACGUCGUGAGACAGUUCGGUCCCUAUCCGUCGUGGGCGUAGGAAAUUUGAGAGGAGCUGUCCUUAGUACGAGAGGACCGGGAUGGACGCACCGCUGGUGUACCAGUUGUUCUGCCAAGGGCAUAGCUGGGUAGCUAUGUGCGGAAGGGAUAAGUGCUGAAAGCAUCUAAGCAUGAAGCCCCCCUCAAGAUGAGAUUUCCCAUAGCGUAAGCUAGUAAGAUCCCUGAAAGAUGAUCAGGUUGAUAGGUUCGAGGUGGAAGCAUGGUGACAUGUGGAGCUGACGAAUACUAAUAGAUCGAGGACUUAACCAUAUAA